UUAUGUUAUUUCUCUGAAGCUGCCGAACCAGAUACCCAGUUCUUGACAAAAUUUUCUUGGGCUCGAUUAUAAUCAUCAAAAUUGUCAAAGGGAUAAAAGUCUAUUGGACUGAAGUUAACAUUAAUCGUGCAUCAAAGGGUGAUAAAUGGGGUUUUGCAUCAAGGAAUUCAUAUGAAAAAGCAAUCAAAAAGGUAAGUUAU
rnacentral:lncRNA from 1 species